rnacentral:rRNA from 1 species
GCUCAGUUUGGGCCGGCGGCGUGGGGAAGACAGGGGGUGGGAGGGUUGUCCGGAAGCACCGGGCGGAAAGGGCGCGGAGGGGGCGCCGCAAGUCGGUGGUGAAAGCGCGACGCGUAACGUCGGGUCGGCCAUCGAAACUGCGGGGCUGGAGCACUGUAGGGGCAGAUGGAAUUCCGGGUGUAGCGGUGGAAUGCGUAGAGAUCCGGAAGAACACCGGUGGCGAAGGCGGUCUGCUGGGCAGUUGCUGACACUGAUGCGCGACAGCGUGGGGAGCAAACAGGAUUAGAUACCCCAGUAGUC